rnacentral:tRNA from 1 species
GCGCCUAUAGCUCAGUGGUAGAGCCAUCGGCUCAUAACCGAUUGGUCCCUGGUUCGAACCCAGGUGGGCGCACCA